AAUUCGCCCUUAGAGUUUGAUCCUGGCUCAGAUUGAACGCCGGCGGCAUGCCUUACACAUGCAAGUCGAACGGUAACAGGUCUUCGGACGCUGACGAGUGGCGAACGGGUGAGUAAUACAUCGGAACGUGCCCAGUCGUGGGGGAUAACUACUCGAAAGAGUAGCUAAUACCGCAUACGAUCUGAGGAUGAAAGCGGGGGACCUUCGGGCCUCGCGCGAUUGGAGCGGCCGAUGGCAGAUUAGGUAGUUGGUGGGAUAAAAGCUUACCAAGCCGACGAUCUGUAGCUGGUCUGAGAGGACGACCAGCCACACUGGGACUGAGACACGGCCCAGACUCCUACGGGAGGCAGCAGUGGGGAAUUUUGGACAAUGGGCGAAAGCCUGAUCCAGCAAUGCCGCGUGCAGGAUGAAGGCCUUCGGGUUGUAAACUGCUUUUGUACGGAACGAAAAAGCUUCUCCUAAUACGAGAGGCCCAUGACGGUACCGUAAGA
rnacentral:rRNA from 1 species